UCCCACUACACUUUGGAAACAUGCAACAACAAUGAGUGCACCUUGUAUCCCUCUCAUUGUCCGUACAAACCUCUGUAAAAUGAUAUGGUCAAAUUUUUAAACUUGGAACAUUUAUUGACUGAUACAAUUGAAAAGAAAUUUUAUAAGGCUCCUAAAGUGAGGUAAAGAACUAGCUACACUUUAAGAUGAUACAGUUGAAAAGAAACUUUUUACAAGCAUAACACAGGCAGCCAACCCCAUAAGGAUCUAAAUAAGAAUUGUAUCUGCUUGCUUGGAUAAUAAAAGAUACAGGAAUCAAAUAAGUAUAUGAACCCACUACCACUGUAGGGAGUCUGUUGAACACGAAGAUUAUAAAUGAAUAUUAUUUAUUGAAGCAUUUAAGGAUCUUAUCACGAAACAAGUAUGGUAAAUGCUCAUUUGAAAGUGGGCUAGUAAGUAGUCUGUUCUUUGCUGAUUGCUUCCUGAUCUUGUGAUAAAUACAAAGUUGAAAUAAGGUCAGGCCACGUGGAACACUGCAGAAAUAAUUGAACUUUCUAUAAUUUUCCAUUUCCUGCAAAAGACUUGCCUAUUUCAAGAAAAGCUUCUCUUAAUAUCAUCAAAUGUCCAUUUUUCAUUUGAACUAAUUCAACACCAAAUUGUACCAUCAAGAAAUUGAAUAAUAUGCCAAGAGAGAAAAAUUAAAAUAAGGUUCAAAAUCCCAACAAUUCCAUUAUCAACCUGACCAUGAAAACAAAGAUUAUGCAACAUUUUUUUUCUUGUGAGGGAGGUGUUUUCUGUUUCUUGUGCUGUUGGUCCCACAGAAAGCUGGUUGGGUUCCUAGGAUAGUUUGUGUCUACAUUUAACAGCUCAUUCCCAUCCUGCCAUUCAAACACAGCUAGACCUUGCCAAUGAUUUUGUUGGCAUGUUCAUCAGGUAGAGCUAGUGAUGAUGAUAUGAUUAGAUUAACAUUUUGUUGUUUCAAAGUUUUAGGUAAUAGAUAGAUGGGCUGGACUGAUUUGAAAAAUUGUGUAACAACUUUUAUCUUUUUUUGAACAAAAUUUAUAGUCUUUUCAAUCUAAAAUCUUUUUUGAAACUCAUAGAUUAGAUUUAGAUGGAUACAAAACCGACAAAAAUGUGGUAGAAUAAAGUCUGUGAUAAGGUAAUAAAAAUACUGUUAAACAUCUAAUUUAAAAUAGUAACUUAUCAUGAUAUAAAUUUGAAAAGUGUAACAGGCAUAGUAACGAGCAAGAACAAAAAACCAAAACUUGAAUUCUGGUAUUAUGUUAAAUAAUUAACAUAAAAUCAAUUAAUAACAGAACUGAAAGCAGCUUGUAAGUAGAAAUAAAAUAAAAAACAUAAAAAGAAAUACAUAAUAGAAUGCUUUAAAGUCCUACCAACAACAAGGCACAUAAUUUAGCAGAUCGAACUUGGAAGACUGAAAAUGAUUAGAUGUAAAGCAAUUUACAACAGUUUUAUUUAUUUUUCUACGUUUUAAUAAUGAAAUUUAGGAAUAUAUUUGAAUGUUAUAAAAAAGUAUAAUUCCCAGUUUAAAUUUCUCUAAAUGUCUACAUUGGACAGAAUCAAGUGGAUAUGUGGAGAACUAAUUAUUUCUCUAUAUUUAUCUCCUCAUUUACAUAUCCAAACAAAAGUAACUAUUAGUUCUUCCUCAUAUUCUCUAAAUUUUAAAUUUCAAAAGUUAAACAGAAGAACACCAUUGAUUAAACUUCUAUGUAUUUCAAAAAUAACAAUGCAGUUCAAAAUUGACAUAAAGACACUCUAAAACAGCAAAAAAAAAAAAGAAAAGCAUUUGAAGCAACCAAAGAAACAAGAAAAAGAAGACACGAAGCUAAUUUAUACAAUUGGAAAACCUUAUAUGGUUUCCUUUCAGAAGAACGAAAGCUUUUAAAAUUUAAACCAACAUCAGAGGCAUUUUUCGUUAUCAUCAGAAAAUUGGAAACCCUACAACUUCUAACUGGAAUUGAAACGCUAAGACGGUUUCAUGAUUUAAUAAAAUAAAACGUGAUAAUUUCUCAGAAUCUUAAAAAAAAAAAAAAACUUCAUUCAAUUGGUUAAUUCAAGCUUCCAAUUAUGAUAAAUUUCAGCGAUCAAAAUUUAAAAAAAAAAAAAAAAAGCAAGAGAAACAUAUAGUAAUGUAAUCAACUCCACGUCCAAUUUUCUUCUCAGACUCUGGAUAGUGUGGAAGCAACCUCUCAAGGUUGAGAUUGGGGGCUUUGGAGUUGAGGGAGAGAAACGAGAAGCCUUGAAUCAGUGGAGGAGGCAGUAGGAGCGGCAAACUGUGGAGAUUUACCAACGUACGGUUAUUUGCGUUUAGGGUUUUUGGGAAAUAGGGAGACUGCAGUUGAAAGAGACAGACGAG
rnacentral:lncRNA from 1 species